CGUGGGUAACCUGCCCAAGAGAUCGGGAUAACACCUGGAAACAGAUGCUAAUACCGGAUAACAACAGAUGAUGCCUAUCAACUGUUUAAAAGAUGGUUCUGCUAUCACUCUUGGAUGGACCUGCGGUGCAUUAGCUAAUUGGUAGGGUAACGGCCUACCAAGGCGAUGAUGCAUAGCCGAGUUGAGAGACUGAUCGGCCACAUUGGGACUGAGACACGGCCCAAACUCCUACGGGAGGCAGCAGGC
rnacentral:rRNA from 1 species